rnacentral:rRNA from 1 species
AGCGAGAGGAGGUUUGCUUUCUCAGCGAGUGGCGAACGGGUGAGUAACGCGUGAGGAACCUGCCUCAAAGAGGGGGACAACAGUUGGAAACGACUGCUAAUACCGCAUAAGCCCACGACCCGGCAUCGGGUAGAGGGAAAAGGAGCAAUCCGCUUUGAGAUGGCCUCGCGUCCGAUCAGCUAGUUGGUGAGGUAAUGGCCCACCAAGGCGACGAUCGGUAGCCGGACUGAGAGGUUGAACGGCCACAUUGGGACUGAGACACGGCCCAGACUCCUACGGGAGGCGGCAGUGGGGAAUAUUGCACAAUGGGGGAAACCCUGAUGCAGCGACGCCGCGUGGAGGAAGAAGGUCUUCGGAUUGUAAACUCCUGUUGUUGAGGAAGAUAAUGACGGUACUCAACAAGGAAGUGACGGCUAACUACGUGCCAGCAGCCGCGGUAAAGCGUAGGCCACAAGCGUUGUCCGGAAUUACUGGGUGUAAAGGGAGUGCAGGCGGGAAGACAAGUUGGAAGUGAAAUCCAUGGGCUCAACCCAUGAACUGCUUUCAAAACUGUUUUUCUUGAGUAGUGCAGAGGUAGGCGGAAUUCCCGGUGUAGCGGUGGAAUGCGUAGAUAUCGGGAGGAACACCAGUGGCGAAGGCGGCCUACUGGGCACCAACUGACGCUGAGGCUCGAAAGUGUGGGUAGCAAACAGGAUUAGAUACCCUGGUAGUCCACACUGGUAACGAUGAUUACUAGGUGUUGGAGGAUUGACCCCUUCAGU